rnacentral:rRNA from 1 species
UCUUGGCUCAGAUUGAACGCUGGCGGCAUGCCUUACACAUGCAAGUCGAACGGCAGCACGGGAGCAAUCCUGGUGGCGAGUGGCGAACGGGUGAGUAAUAUAUCGGAACGUGCCCAGUCGUGGGGGAUAACGUAGCGAAAGCUACGCUAAUACCGCAUACGAUCUAUGGAUGAAAGCGGGGGAUCGCAAGACCUCGCGCGAUUGGAGCGGCCGAUAUCAGAUUAGGUAGUUGGUGGGGUAAAAGCCUACCAAGCCUUCGAUCUGUAGCUGGUCUGAGAGGACGACCAGCCACACUGGAACUGAGACACGGUCCAGACUCCUACGGGAGGCAGCAGUGGGGAAUUUUGGACAAUGGGCGCAAGCCUGAUCCAGCAAUGCCGCGUGCAGGAUGAAGGCCUUCGGGUUGUAAACUGCUUUUGUACGGAACGAAACGGCUCUUUCUAAUAAAGGGAGCUAAUGACGGUACCGUAAGAAUAAGCACCGGCUAACUACGUG